rnacentral:rRNA from 2 species
UACGUAGGUGGCAAGCGUUGUCCGGAUUUAUUGGGUUUAAAGGGUGCGUAGGCGGCCUUGUAAGUCAGUGGUGAAAUACUCCAGCUUAACUGGAGGGGUGCCAAUGAUACUGCAGGGCUUGAGUACAGAUGAGGUAGGCGGAAUUGACGGUGUAGCGGUGAAAUGCAUAGAUAUCGUCAAGAACACCGAUAGCGAAGGCAGCUUACUGGGCUGUAACUGACGCUGAGGCACGAAAGUGUGGGGAUCAAACAGG